AGAGUUUGAUCCUGGCUCAGAACGUACGCUGGCGGCACGCCUAACACAUGCAAGUCGAACGAAGUAGCAAUACUUAGUGGCAGACGGGUGAGUAACAUGUAGGUAUCUGCCCUUUGGCCUGGAAUAACACGAGGAAACUUGUGCUAAUACCGGAUAAGUCUUUACGGAGAAAGCUUUAUGCACCAUUGGAUGAGCCUGCACUUGAUUAGUUUGUUGGUGGGGUAAUGGCCUACCAAGACUGUGAUCAAUAGCUGAUUUGAGAGGAUGAUCAGCCACAUUGGGACUGAGACACGGCCCAAACUCCUACGGGAGGCAGCAGUGGGGAAUCUUGCACAAUGGAGGAAACUCUGAUGCAGCGAUGCCGCGUGAGUGAAGAAGGCCUUUGGGUUGUAAAGCUCUUUCGUCGGGGAAGAAAAUGACUGUACCCGAAUAAGAAGGUCCGGCUAACUUCGUGCCAGCAGCCGCGGUAAUACGAAGGGACCUAGCGUAGUUCGGAAUUACUGGGCUUAAAGAGUUCGUAGGUGGUUGAAAAAGUUAGUGGUGAAAUCCCAGAGCUUAACUCUGGAACUGCCAUUAAAACUUUUCAGCUAGAGUAUGAUAGAGGAAAGCAGAAUUUCUAGUGUAGAGGUGAAAUUCGUAGAUAUUAGAAAGAAUACCAAUUGCGAAGGCAGCUUUCUGAAUCAUUACUGACACUGAGGAACGAAAGCAUGGGUAGCGAAGAGGAUUAGAUACCCUCGUAGUCCAUGCCGUAAACGAUGUGUGUUAGACGUUGGAAAUUUAUUUUCAGUGUCGCAGGGAAACCGAUAAACACACCGCCUGGGGAGUACGACCGCAAGGUUAAAACUCAAAUGAAUUGACGGGGACCCGCACAAGUAGUGGAGCAUGUGGUUUAAUUCGAAGAUACGCGCAGAACCUUACCAACACUUGACAUGUUCGUCGCGACUCUAAGAGAUUAGAGUUUUCGGUUCGGCCGGACGAAACACAGGUGCUGCAUGGCUGUCGUCAGCUCGUGUCGUGAGAUGUUGGGUUAAGUCCCGCAACGAGCGCAACCCUCACUUUUAGUUGCCAUCAUUAAGUUGGGCACUCUGAAAGAACUGCCAGUGAUAAGCUGGAGGAAGGUGGGGAUGACGUCAAGUCCUCAUGGCCCUUACGUGUUGGGCUACACACGUGCUACAAUGGUAUCUACAACAGGAAGCAAGACUGCGAAGUUAAGCAAAUCCCUAAAAGAUACCUCAGUUCGGAUUGCACUCUGCAACUCGAGUGCAUGAAGCUGGAAUUACUAGUAAUCGUGGAUCAGCGUGCCACGGUGAAUGCGUUCCCGGGUCUUGUACACACCGCCCGUCACACCAUGGGAGUUGGUUCUACCUUAAGGCAAGGUUUUAAACCCUUGACCACGGUAUAGUCAGCGACUGGGGUGAAGUCGUAACAAGGUAACC
rnacentral:rRNA from 2 species